UUUGCUCAGCACUGUUUAAGAACGACAAUUAUCAAACUUCCGGUAAACAAACUGUCUGAUUUUGCCUUUAUACUCGUACUAUAUAAAGCAGAUACUGUUGAUGUUCUUGCAGCGUUGCAAUCCAAUAUUAAAUUUUUUUAUUUAACUCGAAAUUGUUCCUGAUCCGAACGGUACAAGGUACAACGGUACAAGUGUGGACGAAACUUUCCGGAUGAAGAAAUGGCAAAGAUGAUAGUGGUCUGUAUGCUCCUGGCGUUGGUACUGGUUACUCGCAUCCAAGAUUCCAAAGCCGACACUUUUUACGGAAGCGUUGCGGCGGCUUGUAGAUGGCUAAAGGAGAACCUUGGUUACGGCUGCGACGGGCAGGGGGAACGCUGGAUUUGGCAGACUUAUCAUCGUCUUCGUUACGGUGCCACCGACUGCAACUCCUACUGCAUCCGCUCGCUGAACAGACCACGCGGUGGACGGUGCCUCAACCAGCCGAACUACGACCAGAGCACAUGGUGCCCUCGUGGACAAACUUGCACUUGCAGUUAACAACGCAUUGGCAGUUUUGUGUAAAAUUAAACCGUGCAUAGGAUAUAGUUCAAUUAUGCACUUAGCUAUCCAUUUUUUUAAAUAAAAAGCAUAACAGAACCCCGCAGAAUCUGCAAACUGCAAAACCUGCGCAGAAUCUGCAAAUGGAAAACUUCUGCUACUGCGCACCUUUAUCGUGAAUAUGAGUAUUUCACACCUUGACGUUUUUGUAAUGACUGCUCAUCUGCCUGGCUUCGAAAUUUUCUUCAAGGGUAUCCGUAUUCGAUUUCCAGCACAGCGUAGAGUGAGAGAUAUUCGUAAUCGGAAACUAGAUUUCAGAUGAUAAUAAUUAUUAAAGCGAAUGAUGUUAUGUCCAGCCUUUUUUCCAUAUUGACUGUGUAAAGAAUCUCUUCCUCAGCGAAAUCAAUGUCAGUCCACUGUCAAUGUCAGAUCACAUGAUUUUCUGCAAGUUGGUGACUUAUUGAGCUUCCCGGCAAAUUUGAAAGAGAUUCGCUAUAUCGCAGACGAUUUAAUGCUAAUCGAUGUCAUAACAGUAAGUACAGUAUGCUUCACUUUUAUGUCCAAUCCAGUUAUGUGUACAUAGAUCCCCGCAGUAUUUAUAUGAAUUUACUACUUAUACAGACGUUUUAUGGGAUUUCUGCAUAUUUUAUCGAUGGUCGUAAUCGCAUAGAAUUGCCUGUCCUUGAUGAACAACAAAAUAUUCCAUCAAAGACUGUGCAAUUGCCAUUCGCCAUCGGCAUUUGGAGUGGGCGCAGUUGUCCAGUCAGCUUUUGCUACUUCAUUCUUUUUUAGGCCCCUUUGUGAUGUGCAGGUCGGCUUGCCUUUUUGCGGCGCCAAAAUGUUGCCUUGUUGUCAGUUACGUAGCACUUUGUUUGAUUGUUUUCGUGAAAUUGUCAACUACAUGUACUGACGAUCUGAAAUUGUACCAACCACAGGACAAUAAAGGCUGAGACACUU